CAUGUUCAAUAGUUUCUAACAUCAAAGAGUGCAUUUGGUUACAAUACAAUCGAUCACAACAAUACGGACAAGAUAUUCCCAGACUCUUCAAUGGCAUCGCCUUAUAAGGAUGCCCAGAGAGCACUAGCUAGGAAGAGACGAAAAAGAAAACAGAGAGUACUACCGGUAAACAAAGGAAUUCUUUAUGGAUAAUUGCAAGUGUGUUCUUCUCAUCAAAGUUGAUACAUGUUUUUGAUGGGAUCAAGUCCAACAGUUGCCACUUGAUCUGAUCAGGGAGCAUAGCUUUGGCGGCCACGGGCGGCUACCAAACUUGAAUAGCAUCUUGUGAUAUUAGCCCAUUGGAUCCUCCACGUCUUCCCCGAGCUGAACGAUUAUACAGAGGAUUAUUAGUUCAUUUCAUCAGUAAAUAUAAGUAUUCACAUGCCAACAACAGCAUAGGUAAAAAAGGAGCUUGUUGCUGAACUGACCAGUUAUGAGUGGUCUCAGUUCACACUUCAGAUGCACCAUGGAGUUGUGGAGGCACCGGAGGAAGGUUUCUCUCUAGCAUAAUAUUCUCUGAAAUGCCAAUAAGCGGCAGGAGUUACCUUCCUCCGGUUGCUUCCUUGCUAGCUAGCAACCUUCAGAAAACUUCGAAGCAAUCAUACAGUAUACCAUAAAUCAAGCUGCAUCAUGAGUUGCUCUAGCUUGACCCAUUUAGAGGAAGCCCAGUGCCCUGUAAAGUUCGGUAACAAUACAGAGGGAGUCAAGUUUCUAAUGGUGAGAAGCUAGUUAAAAUCCAUUGAAACAGAGACGAGAGCAUCACCAGUUAGAAAGAGGCGAGAGCUGUCAUAGUAAGAACCGAUCGCCGUCUUGGUGAGGCGAUCAGGGCUAGAAGCUGCCACUUAAUCUGAUUACGGAGCGUGUCUUGAGAGGCCACCAGCAGGUACCAAACUUGAAUAGCACCUUGUGGUAUAACCCAUUGGAU
rnacentral:lncRNA from 1 species